UUUGGCCUAGGGUUAAGCUAACAAGCUUGUGAACAACCAACCCCAAAAUAGUUUCAAUAGCGUCCAGUUCAUAGUUACUUUCUGUAAUGAAAAAAAUAGUAUAAAGGAUAACGAAAAGUGGAUGUAAAAACAGUGAAAAAAAUAACUGGAAUAAGUAAAAUAUAAAUAGUAGAAAAAAAAUGCUAGAAACCUAAUUAAAAAAUUGUGAAAAAAUUGUGGGAAAAAAAACACAACUGAAAGAAGUAGAAAAAUAGUAGAAAAUUAGAUUGAAAAAAUAAAUGUAAAAAUAGUGAAAAAUAAAUGUAAAAAUAGUGAAGAAAAAAUAAUAGAAAAUUACAUUGAAAAAAUAAUGAAAAAUAAAUGUAAAAAUAGUGAAGAAAAAAUAAUAGAAAAUUACAUUGAAAAAAUAAUGAAAAAUAAAUGUAAAAAUAUUGAAGAAAAAAUAAUAGAAAAUUACAUCGAAAAAUAAUGAAAAAUAGUCUUACAUAAUGAAAAAGUUGUGAAAAGAGAAACAACUGAAAGAAGUAAAACUGAAUAGAAGAAAAUUACAUCGAAAAAAUAUAAUAGUGAAAAAGUUGGAGAAACGUAGUAGAGAUCUUUGUAAAAGGAAUAAAAAU